GUGGGAAUCGAGCGGAUUAUUAUCGCUGGCAGGACCACCAGGGCAUCGAAUAUGCGGAAGUCGAGAACCUUGAGAACAAUCUGGCCCUGUUUGAGCUUCUACCAGGGGGUGAGAAACUCGGCUCACUGUGCCCGGCACACUUUUCGGCACAGCACCGCACAUCUGGGCACACUUCCUAUCUUUUUUUUUCUGCAGGAUUAGAUUUGACAGUUGAAACUUUGGUGUUGUUCGCCCGGCUCAACAAGCGUGUUUGAGUCGAAACAAAUCGCAAUGAAUACUGCCAUCGAGAACGAGACAUUCAAAGCAAAUAGCUUCCUAAACAUUUCCAAAAUCUUCUGUCUGAACAAAAAUCCAGGUUGACCAGCACUUUGUCAAAUUAUGAAACAUCAUAAAUGCCCAUCGGAGUAUAUUCCGAAAGAGCUUUCCGAGUUGGUCAAUCUCCUGCUAUACCAUCCAAUGGAAGGGACCAUAAUUGACGAUCAACGAUCAGGUUACUCCAUAAGCUUGCUACUUUGCUGUGAAAGAUUCAGCCCUGUACGGCUGCGCUUAGUAUGUCUCCGCCCUGGUCUCAGCUGAUAAUGAAGCAGAAAACCGAAAGAGACAGGCAGAGGAACAACAGGCAUCCGGUUUAUCCGCGGGAAAGAAAAUAACGACAGAUACGUGCUAAUAUCUGGCGGCAGAGAGUAAAUCCGCUGCUAGUAAAGGCAACUGAGGAAGAAGUUACGGAGGAGUUGACAAAUAAUCUCACGAAAAACAUGUGUUAGUAAUUGAUAAGAUUUGUUACUGAUUGUUGAUAAAUAAUGAUUCAAAUAUAUUGAUUCUUACAAAUUCAA